GAUGAACGCUGGCGGCGUGCCUAAUACAUGCAAGUCGAGCGAACAGACGAGGAGCUUGCUCCUCUGACGUUAGCGGCGGACGGGUGAGUAACACGUGGAUAACCUACCUAUAAGACUGGGAUAACUUCGGGAAACCGGAGCUAAUACCGGAUAAUAUAUUGAACCGCAUGGUUCAAUAGCGAAAGACGGUUUUGCUGUCACUUAUAGAUGGAUCCGCGCCGCAUUAGCUAGUUGGUAAGGUAACGGCUUACCAAGGCAACGAUGCGUAGCCGACCUGGGAGGGUGAUCGGCCACACUGGAACUGAGACACGGUCCAGACUCCUACGGGAGGCAGCAGUAGGGAAUCUUCCGCAAUGGGCGAAAGCCUGACGGAGCAACGCCGCGUGAGUGAUGAAGGUCUUCGGAUCGUAAAACUCUGUUAUUAGGGAAGAACAAAUGUGUAAGUAACUAUGCACGUCUUGACGGUACCUAAUCAGAAAGCCACGGCUAACUACGUG
rnacentral:rRNA from 1 species